UACGAAGGGGGCUAGCGUUGCCCGGAAUUAUUGGGCGUAAAGAGCUCGUAGGCGGUCUGUCGCGUCGGCUGUGAAAACUCGGGGCUCAACUCCGAGCUUGCAGUCGAUACGGGCAGGCUAGAGUUCGGCAGGGGAGACUGGAAUUCCUGGUGUAGCGGUGAAAUGCGCAGAUAUCAGGAGGAACACCGGUGGCGAAGGCGGCGUUCUGGACUGCAACUGACACUGAUGAACGAAAGCCAGGGGAGCAAACGGG
rnacentral:rRNA from 1 species